rnacentral:rRNA from 1 species
AGCAGAGUUUGAUCCUGGCUCAGAGCGAACGCUGGCGGCAGGCCUAACACAUGCAAGUCGAGCGCCCGUAGCAAUGCGGGAGCGGCAGACGGGAGAGUAACACGUGGGAACGCGCCCUUCGGUUCGGAAUAACUCAGGGAAACUUGGGCUAAUACCGGAUACGCCCUUACGGGGAAAGAUUUAUCGCCGAAGGAACGGCCCGCGUCCGAUUAGCUAGUUGGUGGGGUAAUAGCCUACCAAGGCGACGAUCGGUAGCUGGUCUGAGAGGAUGGUCAGCCACACGGGGACUGAGAUACGGCCCCGACUCCUACGGGAGGCAGCAGCUAAGAAUCUUGCGCAAUGGGCGAAAGCCUGACGCAGCGACGCCGCGUGAGGGAAGAAGGCCUUCGGGUUGUAAACCUCUUUCAGGAGGGACGAAGCCACUCGGGUUAAUAGCCCAGAGGGUGACGGUACCUCCAGAAGAAGCCCCGGCUAACUACGUGCCAGCAGCCGCGGUAAUA